AUGGUAUCUUCCCUGCAGCAUGUAAUACUCUUUAAAAUCUUUACUGGGGACUUCAACAAUGGGACAAAAUACAAGUUUUCAAGUGGCACUGGAAGAGGGAGAAGAGUUAAUAGUACAGAAAAUGGAUCUGAACCAGCUGGAGAAGCAGGCUGAGAAGAAAGAAAUAACUGGAAUGGAUUGGUAUGAUCUUUUGAAAGAGCUUUGAUACCAGGUGAUGGCCAGGUGCGGUGCUGACAAACAAAGACUGGUACUCUUGACCAGAGUUUCCCAGCGUAUAAUGUAAGCUUGGAAUAUAUCUUCAUUUGGAUUCAACGCAUUUAUUUUUCAUAUGAAGAUUUUUGAAUAUCAUGCACGUUUCCACGUUUCAGAACAUUGUGUACAGGCUCAUGUAGAGUAGAAUGAACUAUUCUCAGCACACAACAUAUUUAUCAAAUAUAGUUUAGUUGCUUUAUCUUUUAAAUAUCUUUUAAAUAAAUAAUUUGUAAACAAGAUCCA
rnacentral:lncRNA from 1 species